UACGAAGGGGGCUAGCGUUGCUCGGAAUCACUGGGCGUAAAGCGCACGUAGGCGGACUCUUAAGUCGGUGGUGAAAUCCUGGAGCUCAACUCCAGAACUGCCUUCGAUACUGAGAGUCUCGAGUCCGAGAGAGGUGAGUGGAACUGCGAGUGUAGAGGUGAAAUUCGUAGAUAUUCGCAAGAACACCAGUGGCGGAAAGGCGGCUCACUGGCUCGGUACUGACGCUGAGGUGCGAAAGCGUGGGGAGCAAACA
rnacentral:rRNA from 1 species